CAUCUUGCCAUGCCAUUUAGGGUUUCAUUUCAUUUUAGGGUUCAAUUAGGGUUCAAUCCUCUUCAUUACAUUCAUUCAAAUAAUUCUUUGCCAGAUGUCUCAUGUGGACCUCUCCUAUAACUGCUGGUUUAUGCAAACAACAGGUAUUGCUGGUUUAUGCAAACAACUGGUAUUGCUGAUUUAUGCAAACAAUUGGCACAAGUGGUUUAUGGAAACAAUUGUGGUUUUAAGAUUGCUUUCCCAAUUUUUGUUCAUUUGUGGAGUUUUUUUUCUCUCUCUUCCCCCUCUCUCUCUCGUACGCUCUAGCUCUUUCUCACCUUCCUCUCACACUUUCAUCUCUCUUUCUCUCUGCACUCUCCAUCUCAUCCUUCACCAUAACAUCCACACAACAACCUCCACCACCAUCUAUGAAAUUGAGGCAAUGAAAUGAUGAAAUCGGUAAACAAUUUUGAAUUUUUAUGAAAAAAUGUUGAAAAUUGAUGGAUUAGGGUUUGGUUGAUUUAGGGAUCAAGACCAAGGCAGCGAUAGUGCCAACCUUGCAUGCAAGAAGCGAAGGAGAAAAGAAGAGCGCUCGCUGUUGUUGAAGGUGAAAGGGAGCGCAUGAAAUCGAAGAGGAAAAGGGUUUCUACCAUUCACGAAGAAGAUGAAGAUCUGAGGGAAAUUGGGAAGAAAGAGUUUGGGAAGAAAAGAAAGGAAGGAAAGGGAAAUAUGGCCGAGUGAGAAAAUAUUUGCCGGCGGGAGAGAAGUUCCGGCGAGGAGGAGGAGUUCCGGCCGAGAGAGUUCUUGUGGCGGUUUGUGUAGGGUUGGGCAUUAAGGUUGCAAUCAAGUCGGUAUUUAUGAUCGCACCGCCGGCACAAUAGUUCCAGUGCUUUUGGUUUGCUGUUCACUUCUAUGACACAUAUGGGCAAUCCCUUUCAAACAUUCUUGUAUCCCUCCAAAUGGGAAUAAGCGCAGUUGAUUCUUCAGUUGCUGGUCUUGGUGGCUGUCCAUAUGCUAAGGGGGCUUCGGGAAAUGUAGCUACCGAAGAUGUUGUGUACAUGCUUAAUGGUCUUGGUGUGAAAACCAACGUCGAUAUUGAAAAGCUCAUGUCAGCCGGCGACUUCAUCGGCAAGCAUUUGGGGCGCCCCUCUGACUCAAAGACCGCCAUUGCCCUUAGCCGAGUCACUGCUGAUUCUUCUAAGAUAUGAUUAUAUAUAUAGUACCAUAUAAAUAUAUUUCCAGGUGCUUCAACCAAUGACAGAUCAUUCUAUAUGUUUCAUGUGUCAUUUUUUUGUUGCAUAAUUAUAGAACAAGAAUAAAUUUUCCACUCACAUUGAUGAGUUAGGAAGCAGCAAUGCAUAUAAUAUGUCAAUAGCAAAUGCAAGGUUCUCAUUUGAGUGAAAUCUUGCAUUUUUUAUACAGCCAUCAUGCAUGCCAUUCAUUUGUGUAUAAUGAUGUAUAGUUAGAUAUGGUUAUACACGGAUGACUCAUUUUUAACUCUAAAUUGAUUAUAUCUUAUAAUUUUAAUUUCAUCUCUGUCAUAGAUGUUUGGUCAUGUCGUUUAAAAAAAUCAUAUGAAAGAAACUGAGAAAAAUGGCAAGAUAAGUAAGGUCAUGGAUGCCACCCUUGAAGAUUUGCAGUAAGUUUGUUUAUCUAACCCGGUUAGUGCACUUUAUUCAAUCAUUUUUUGUAGUGUACUUAUAUGGUUAUUUUUACAUUGGGGUUUUGACAAUUUCUGAUUUUGUAGUUUUUGUGUGUAGGUUUUGAUAUGUGAUUUCUUGAAUCCAUCAUGGUAAGUGCGAUAACAUUAAUACUCUUUUAUAUCCAUUUAUGCAUAUCAAAACUAUUUUAGGAUUCACUGUUGAAGAGAGAAUUAUGAGUAAUUAAUUCUCUGAUUCUGUUAAGUGAUAUAUUUCAAGUGCAUGCAAAUUUUAGAAUUUUUAGAAGCAAUGAAGUGUUACAACUAUUAUUAUUUAACUUCCCUAUAAUAGAUUACAUGGUCUAUAUUGAUAUCAUUUGAGGUAAGGCUCUUAUAUGUCAUGUUCCAGCUCUAUUAUGUUUCCUAUUUGCCUCUUUGACCUGUCAUCACUUAAUGUCAUGUAUAUUAUGCUCUAUUAUCUUAUGUUUGCUUAUAACAUGUUUGUUAUUGUUAUAACCAUAACUAUCACUAAUUAGGUGCAUACCAAAUAAUUAUUGAUUUGUUUCUAUGUAAGUUUAAAGUAGCACAUGCAGGGAAGAUAUGAGAAUAUGAAAAAAAAACAUGCCUAAAGUUGGUUCUCUUGGGCUUUACAUGAUGUUCAGGACAUACACUUCACAGGCGAGUUGUAUGAAAAUUUAUGAGCUGAUUAUCAACAAAGCCUUCCUAAUUUAAACAUUAUGAUCCUUAAUUCCAUGUGUUAACGAUGAAAGUUAAAAGUGGUUUUUUCAUGAUGUAGCUAUUGGGGGUUUGUUUUGUUGGUUUGGGAGAUUAGGGAUAUUCCAAUUAGAAACACACUAAUUAAAACACACUAAUUAAGCAACUAAACCCCUUAAUUUUUUUUUGUAAGCAACUUUUUAUUCCUUUUUUACUUGUGCAUAUAAAUUUGGAACUCAUGUUGGCGAAUCAUAAUUGCUACUUUUUAGGGGAGGAGGGAUAGGUAUGUAUGGUUACUACUAUUUUAUAGGGAUGACUACAUCAUCAUUGAUACUUUUUAGGAAGUCUUGAGCAUCCAAUCCUAUAUUUUUGAAUAACUCCUUCACUAAUACACACAUAUUUUCUCAUUGAUCAAAUACACCACUCUUCUAAUUUUCUUUUCUAUUCAUCUCCUCUUAAAUAAAUAAAGGGUUAGAAGAAGAUAAUUUUGAGAUGUUGAGUGUUGAAGUAAUUGACUUUUUCUUAACGGAAAAUUGAUUGGUAUUUGAUUAUAUUUUAUCUUCUUAUGGUUUUUUUUUUGCACUUGAAUUGCAGAGUAUUAUAGUAUGGGGAAAUAUUGGUGGUGUUUGAUAUAGGUUACCUGGUUAUGCCUUUUUUCCUUUUGAAAUGCUAGAGGUAAAAAGAUUCUAACUUCUGCAUUAAUUUUCUCUGAUUAUGUCUCUUUGUGAUAUUUCAAUUAAUUGAAUUUCUUUAGUUUUGUUUGGUCGGUGGAAUGAGAUUUUUAUUGAGCAUGGCUUAAGUGGUGGGGAUUGAAACAUAGAUGAAAAACUUCUAUAUACACCAUGCAUGUUCUCAUUUAAACUAAUGAGGUGAAAAAUACAAGCAAUACUAAUGAGGGAACUUUAGAUUGUAGGAUAUGAUAGAAGAUUAUCAAUUUGGUUUUGGGCCUUCGAUCUAUAUGCGACAUGACUUCCUAAAGAGGGAGGGACCUGGAGUUUGAAGUUAUCAACCAAAUUAAUGGAAAAAAGGAGUUGUGAUUAUUUUUGAAUUAUUGUUUAGAGGAAGAGAGAAAUAGAUUGAGUCUAUGUAUUGAUGUUUUUCUUUAAAGUAUAUCCUAAUGUACUCUUGCAUCCUUAUUGUGCAUUAAAACUUUUUUUUCUUCA